CCCCUAACCCCUAUAACUACUUAACCCUUAGGAUUCUGUAUUAUUGGUUUUAGGUUGGGGCGACCACGGAGUACAACAAAACCUCCACAAUGAACGGAACUACUUCCUCAUCUGAGAGCUACACCUCUAAGAAUUAAAAUAUUAACAUAAAAUGAUCCAUUUUUGAUCAAUGAACCAAGUUACCCUGGGGAUAACAGCGCAAUCCAUUUCAAGAGCCCCUAUCGACAAAUGGGUUUACGACCUCGAUGUUGGAUCAGGGUAUCCUGGUGGUGCAGCAGCUACUAAAGGUUCGUUUGUUCAACGAUCAAAACCCU
rnacentral:rRNA from 1 species